rnacentral:rRNA from 1 species
UACGUAUGGAGCAAGCGUUAUCCGGAUUUACUGGGUGUAAAGGGAGCGUAGACGGUUAGCCAAGUCUGAUGUGAAAGGUGUGGGCUCAACCCGCAAACUGCAUUGGAAACUGGUCAGCUUGAGUGUCGGAGAGGUAAGUGGAAUUCCUAGUGUAGCGGUGAAAUGCGUAGAUAUUAGGAGGAACACCAGCGGCGAAGGCGGCUUACUGGACGAUAACUGACGCUGAGGCGCGAAGGCGCGGGGAGCAAAC